rnacentral:miRNA from 10 species
GGUCGUGUUUGGUGUAUCAUACU